rnacentral:rRNA from 1 species
UGGGGAAUAUUGCACAAUGGGCGCAAGCCUGAUGCAGCCAUGCCGCGUGUGUGAAGAAGGCCUUCGGGUUGUAAAGCACUUUCAGCGAGGAGGAAGGUGGUGAACUUAAUACGUUCAUCAAUUGACGUUACUCGCAGAAGAAGCACCGGCUAACUCCGUGCCAGCAGCCGCGGUAAUACGGAGGGUGCAAGCGUUAAUCGGAAUUACUGGGCGUAAAGCGCACGCAGGCGGUUUGUUAAGUCAGAUGUGAAAUCCCCGGGCUCAACCUGGGAACUGCAUUUGAAACUGGCAAGCUAGAGUCUCGUAGAGGGGGUAGAAUUCCAGGUGUAGCGGUGAAAUGCGUAGAGAUCUGGAGGAAUACCGGUGGCGAAGGCGGCCCCCUGGACGAAGACUGACGCUCAGGUGCGAAAAGCGUGGGGAGCAAAACAGGAUUAGAUACCCUGGUAGUCCACGCUGUAAAACGAUGUCGAUUUUGGAGGUUGUGCCCUUGAGGCGUGGCUUCCGGAGCUAACGCGUUAAAUCGACCGCCUGGGGAGUACGGCC